rnacentral:rRNA from 1 species
AUUGAACGCUGGCGGCAUGCCUUACACAUGCAAGUCGAACGGCAGCACGGGAGCAAUCCUGGUGGCGAGUGGCGAACGGGUGAGUAAUGUAUCGGAACGUGCCCAGUCGUGGGGGAUAACGUAGCGAAAGCUACGCUGAUACCGCAUACGAUCUAUGGAUGAAAGCGGGGGACCGUAAGGCCUCGCGCGAUUGGAGCGGCCGAUAUCAGAUUAGGUAGUUGGUGGGGUAAAGGCCUACCAAGCCGACGAUCUGUAGCUGGUCUGAGAGGACGACCAGCCACACUGGGAAUGAGACACGGCCCAGACUCCUACGGGAGGCAGCAGUGGGGAAUGUUGGACAAUGGGCGCAAGCCUGAUCCAGCAAUGCCGCGUGCAGGAUGAAGGCCUUCGGGUUGUAAACUGCUUUUGUACGGAGCGAAAAGGCUCUCUCUAAUACAGGGGGCUCAUGACGGUACCGUAAGAAUAAGCACCGGCUAACUACGUGCCAGCAGCCGCAGUAACAC